UUUGUCCCACGGGAGGCAGCAGUGGGGAAUAUUGCACAAUGGGGGAAACCCUGAUGCAGCGACGCCGCGUGAGUGAAGAAGUAUUUCGGUAUGUAAAGCUCUGUCAGCAGGGAAGAAAAUGACGGUACCUGACCAAGAAGCCCCGGCUAACUACGUGCCAGCAGCCGCGGUAAUACGUAGGGGGCAAGCGUUAUCCGGAUUUACUGGGUGUAAAGGGAGCGUAGACGGCAGGGCAGGUCUGGAGUGAAAGGCGGGGGCUCAACCCCCGGACUGCUCUGGACACUGCCAGGCUGGAGUGCAGGAGG
rnacentral:rRNA from 1 species